rnacentral:lncRNA from 1 species
UACGGGAACUCGUUGACUAUUUCUCCUGCAAACGAAACGAAAAUAGCGACGAGAAGAUGAGAAGAAAAUAUUCAAAGAAACGCGAGACAUUUGAGCGUGAGCACGUUCCGAUUUUCUAACUAGGUUCUCUGUAAUGAUUCAUUGUUUUUGAUCGAGUUAAAUAGUGUACAAAAUUUCGAGUAAAGUCGAUCGCACGCGCGGAGAAGAAAAAUAUAAGCUUCGAUUGACGCAUCUGACAGUAUCAUUUCUUUAAUCAUUUUUCAACUCUGUUUAGUUCUAUUUUGUUCUCUACCGCUUCUUUUAAAGUCAGCUUCGAUUUACUCAAUGAAACGCGUUCGAGAUUUCGAGCGACAAAUGUUCGCGACUUUGUAAGUUUAAAAAAUCUCGUUGAUGCAUAAUACAGAUUUUGAAAUCACCUCGAUUGUCUCACGGGGAAAAAGCACGCGUUUUUCAUGUAGUUUCACACGUAAUUAUUUUCGCCGAAGUUUUGCUUGUCAGUAGUAGAGGUUCGCGUUAGGUCAGCCCACUGGGAAAUCCCUCUUUCUUUCGGCAUUUUAUCAACUUUUCGCUUUCUCGUGAUUUUUAUACUCCUUUAUCCUUUUGUUCGACAUUGCGUCACGAUUAUUUAACCUUGUCCGAAACUUUUAAUCGUCAGACACGAUUUAAGAGAUUUCUCUGGUAGCUUCUUUAAUCGCCUCGGUUUUUCUUUGCUCAUCCUAUUAAUAUCGAGUUUCAAUCGUGCUUUCCGUUUCGUUUCCCUUUUAUGACUUCACCGUUCUCGAAGAGGCGCAACAAGUUCUCGCCACGUUCGGUGAAUUUGGAUUCGAUUAUUCCAUUUGUUUCUUUAUUUGCACGAGUGGGCGGGUGGUAUCUGACGCUUAGAGUUUUGCCGGGGAUUUCUACAACGAUAACAGUAUCAUUUAAUUUCUUGGCUAAGUGGUCGUGAUGCGAACGAUUCCGAAUCAUUACGGUUCGUUCGCGAUAAUUAAACGAUUUGGAAAAUGCGAGACACGCUCGUUUAUGCGAUACUUACGAUCACGUUCUCCAGUAGUUUCUACAAUUUGCUAUACCAAUUGUUCUGCAAUUAAGUAUUUGUGUAUAAUUUCGAACAGAGGAUGAUUUUGUGAAAUAAAUUUGAUCGUAGUCAAAACAGCCAUGUCUAGGGUCAUCAAGAAUUUUCAAUCGAAUACCUCGAUUUAUUUUUGUCGAAGCAACUCGAGCAACAUUAAAUUUUCGUUUAUUUAGCUAAAUGAAAUUCUCGGCAUCGAUAUCGGUAACUCUCAUGGCAGUCGACAGGUUAAACACGAAACGCCCUCUUAUUCUUUUCCCGCCUCCUCCCCUCGCUUCUUUCAUCAAUUUUUCACCGUGCAAUCUUACUCCCUUACCCUCCGUGAACUUAUCGCCAGGAUUUAUAGAACGUGGACAUUCUAAUACGCGAUAUCGAUUUACCAUCGACCGAAAUGCCAAUGUGCCAAUUAGAAAUGUCCACGCGUUCCAUUCACUUUCGCCGAUGAAAACGAGCCGAUUCGAAAGCAACGAAAGUAAGAUGCAAGAGAGGAUCCAUGACAUCCUCGGGAGAGGAUGCAGUCUAGCGUGGAACUUCUUCCAACAGGGUGAUCGAACGUAAAAGUCGAGAUGUCGAGUAAACCGGAUCAGGCCACUGUGUUACUCUCGAUGAACAAUACUUCGUAUUGAUUAGAAAGUAGAUAAUAUGCACGAGACUCGCAUACGGCGUGUAUGCACUUUCUGUGGGAGUUUGUAUCGCUGGAGCGUUUUAGUCGAAGGCAAUUAUAAAGACGUCGUUCUGCUGACAAUCGGACAACUGGCGAAGUUAGGAUGAUGAAAAGACAACUGGCAGAUCGAGUGGCAAGGUCUUUAAUAGAUUGCUUAAUCGUUUUUGGGACCUACUUUUGAUGCGACCCAGAGGAGAAAGUAAGAGGAGUAAGCUUUGCGGUCGCGUGCUCGAGAAAGUUGUUUCGCUUACACGUGGACCAAAGAACAUCCAUUACCGUUCUUAGCCUGAAAAGUGGAGUAAAAGGAAAAUUAACGUGCUUUUUAUGCAUUCGGAAGCGUAAAAGAAAGUGGAGUUUACUGUUCGGGUCAUCAGUACGACAUUAAAGACUUUUUCUUUGACUUUAGAUUAGUCGCAUUAUUUGGAAGAUUAAAUUGAGUUUCAAAAUUGGCGCACUUUGACGACGCCAACGCCAUCUGACACAGAAUCGUCGAAACUGAUUGGUAACUUCAAGAGUAUUGACAGUCGAUAAGGAGUACAUAGUUUCGAUAAUUACCAACAGUAGCGCUAUUGUCUAAUUCGAAGGAAUUUGAAAUUGACAAUGCAAGGAGCGGUACAUUUUAAUUAUAUUUUAUUUGAAAAAUAUCUUAAAUAUUUAAAAAGGUAAUUUUACAAGGUUCUGAGAAUAUUUAGUUCUAAAUGCAAGGUAUGUAAACUAAUUGCGGAAGAUGAAUAAAUAAGCUAAAAUCCUGCCAUGUCAAGAAUAUUUGGAAUCAACACACGCAGAGAGGAAAAAUUAAUAUACAAAAAUAAUGCUAUACAGAAUAGUUUAAUAUAUUAUAAUAUUUUUCAUACUUAAACUUUAGACUGAUAUGUGUACUGUUGUAAAAGGAAAAUGUAGUAAGAACAAGAUAAAAAUAA